UCCCAGGGAUCUCGUUUCCAUAUUAAAUAAACCCACGCUGUUUCACUUUUUGGCUGACUGAUCCUGACUUGGAAAUUUGUAAUUGUCAUUCAAGAUAGCGGUAGCGAAACCUACCCAGGAAGAAAGAAAUGCUGUGCAUGCAGGGUGGACCCCUUUGAUCUCCGCGACUUCUAAGAACCUCCAUUCCUCAUGCUGUGGCUUCUGCUACUUCUCUCAAGGAGCCAAAAGGUUAAACAGAGCGAACGGCAGGAGUGAAAUGGCAGCCAAAUGGGAGAGUCUGAGCGGGCCCUUGAAUAGAGGUGGAAGGUAGGGAUUAUCUGUCCCUUUAGGCAUGAGAUGAAAGCAAAGCACAGAGAAGCAACUGACCUGGCGAAGCUCACAGAGCAAUCCCGUCUCUAUCUACUUUGGCAUUUGAACAGGGAACUUCAAACCCGCAAGCCAACAAGCUGGCCUUUCUCUUCCAUAAUAGGAUGACAGCUCCACUCCCUGAGCAGAUGUAAGGAAGCCCACCUGUACAGAAUGUAUAAAUAAAAGUGCAGGGAAAGGACCGGAGACGAAGACCUCAAUCUGGGAAAGCUGUUAGAGAGAAGGCAAAUUGAUACCUAGAAGUUUGGUUCUGAUUCUCUGAACUUUUUAAAAA